GUUUUUUAUGGGUGCUAUACCCAUUGUCAUAUAUAUAUUAAAUAUAAAAAAAUUUGAUACAUAUUUUAAUAUAAAUUUAAUUGACCAGUUAAGACCAGUUAUUACAUUUUUAGGCAUUAGUAAAAGCUGGGACACGUCAAUUACUAGUCCUCAACUAUUACAAUAAUUAAUCACAAUAAGUGAAUUAAAUAUAAUAAUUUUCUCAUUUGAGACACAACGUUAACUAUCAACAGCUUAACAGCUGACCACAAUGAAAUCAUAAUAAAAUUUUAGUUCGAUCUGAUUCAACUUUUUUAUAUACAAAUGUUAUUAUCUGAUAUAGAUUUUUUUCAAUUAAUUGAUAUUUAAAAGUUAUUCUAAAAAAGACCACACCGAAUUACAUCUCUAUACAUGUGUAAGU
rnacentral:misc_RNA from 1 species